rnacentral:rRNA from 1 species
GACGAACGCUGGCGGCGUGCUUAACACAUGCAAGUCGAACGGAAAGGCCCUGCUUUUGUGGGGUGCUCGAGUGGCGAACGAGUGAGUAACACGUGAGUAACCUGCCCUUGACUUUGGGAUAACUUCAGGAAACUGGGGCUAAUACCGGAUAGGAGCUCCUGCUGCAUGGUGGGGGUUGGAAAGUUUCGGCGGUUGGGGAUGGACUCGCGGCUUAUCAGCUUGUUGGUGGGGUAGUGGCUUACCAAGGCUUUGACGGGUAGCCGGCCUGAGAGGGUGACCGGCCACAUUGGGACUGAGAUACGGCCCAGACUCCUACGGGAGGCAGCAGUGGGGAAUAUUGCACAAUGGGCGGAAGCCUGAUGCAGCAACGCCGCGUGCGGGAUGACGGCCUUCGGGUUGUAAACCGCUUUCGCCUGUGACGAAGCGUGAGUGACGGUAAUGGGUAAAGAAGCACCGGCUAACUACGUGCCAGCAGCCGCGGUGAUACGUAGGGUGCGAGCGUUGUCCGGAUUUAUUGGGCGUAAAGGGCUCGUAGGUGGUUGAUCGCGUCGGAAGUGUAAUCUUGGGGCUUAACCCUGAGCGUGCUUUCGAUACGGGUUGACUUGAGGAAGGUAGGGGAGAAUGGAAUUCCUGGUGGAGCGGUGGAAUGCGCAGAUAUCAGGAGGAACACCAGUGGCGAAGGCGGUUCUCUGGGCCUUUCCUGACGCUGAGGAGCGAAAGCGUGGGGAGCGAACAGGCUUAGAUACCCUGGUAGUCCACGCUGUAAACGGUGGGUACUAGGUGUGGGGUCCAUUCCACGGGUUCCGUGCCGUAGCUAACGCUUUAAGUACCCCGCCUGGGGAGUACGGCCGCAAGGCUAAAACUCAAAGGAAUUGACGGGGCCCCGCACAAGCGGCGGAGCAUGCGGAUUAAUUCGAUGCAACGCGUAGAACCUUACCUGGGUUUGACAUGGAUCGGGAGUGCUCAGAGAUGGGUGUGCCUCUUUUGGGGUCGGUUCACAGGUGGUGCAUGGCUGUCGUCAGCUCGUGUCGUGAGAUGUUGGGUUAAGUCCCGCAACGAGCGCAACCCUUGUUCACUGUUGCCAGCACGUUAUGGUGGGGACUCAGUGGAGACCGCCGGGGUCAACUCGGAGGAAGGUGGGGAUGACGUCAAGUCAUCAUGCCCCUUAUGUCCAGGGCUUCACGCAUGCUACAAUGGCUGGUACAGAGAGUGGCGAGCCUGUGAGGGUGAGCGAAUCUCGGAAAGCCGGUCUCAGUUCGGAUUGGGGUCUGCAACUCGACCUCAUGAAGUCGGAGUCGCUAGUAAUCGCAGAUCAGCAACGCUGCGGUGAAUAAGUUCCCGGGGCU